rnacentral:misc_RNA from 1 species
GAUGAAGAACGCAGCGAAAUGCGAUAAGUAGUGUGAAUUGCAGAAUUCAGUGAAUCAUCGAAUCUUUGAACGCACAUUGCGCCCCUCGGUAUUCCGUGGGGCAUGCCUGUUCGAGCGUCAUUUACCCCUCAAGUACUGCUUGGUGUUGGGCGUCUGUCCCGCUUCGCGCGCGGACUCGCCCCAAAGGUAUUGGCAGCGGUCGUGCCAGCUUCUCGCGCAGCACAUUGCGCUUCUCGAGGCGGUCGAUCGGCGUCCACGAAGCUCACCUCCACCGUUUGACCUCGGAUCAGGUAGGGAUACCCGCUGAACUUAAGCAUAUCAAUAAGCGGAGGA